rnacentral:rRNA from 1 species
AUCAACUUUCGAUGGUAGGAUAGAGGCCUACCAUGGUGGUAACGGGUAACGGGGAAUUAGGGUUCGAUUCCGGAGAGGGAGCCUGAGAAACGGCUACCACUUCCAAGGAAGGCAGCGGGCGCGCAAAUUACCCAAUCCCGACACGGGGAGGUAGUGACAAUAAAUAACAAUACGGGGCUCUUUAGGGUCUCGUAAUUGGAAUGAGUACAAUUUAAAUCCCUUAACGAGGAACAAUUGGAGGGCAAGUCUGGUGCCAGCAGCCGCGGUAAUUCCAGCUCCAAUAGCGUAUAUUAAAGUUGUUGCAGUUAAAAAGCUCGUAGUUGAAUUUCGGGAUUGACUUGAUGGUCGUGCCUUACGGGGUAUGAACUGUUGCAGUCAAUUUCUCACCUUCUGGAGAAAUAUGAUGUCCUUAAUUGGGUGUCAUAUGGAACCAGAACUUUUACCUUGAAAAAAUUAGAGUGUUUAAAGCAGGCUUAUUGCUCGAAUACAUUAGCAUGGAAUAAUAAAAUAGGACGGCAUGGUUCUAUUUUGUUGGUUUCUAGGAUCACCGUAAUGAUUAAUAGGGAUAGUUGGGGGCAUUAGUAUUCAAUUGUCAGAGGUGAAAUUCUUGGAUUUAUUGAAGACUAACUACUGCGAAAGCAUUUGCCAAGGAUGUUUUCAUUAAUCAAGAACGAAAGUUAGGGGAUCGAAGACGAUCAGAUACCGUCGUAGUCUUAACCAUAAACUAUGCCGACUAGGAAUCAGACGAUGUUAAUUUUUUAAUGACUCGUUUGGCACCUUACGGGAAACCAAAGUGUUUGGGUUC